GCAGAGGUAGAAAGAAUGUCACAAAUUAAAUUUCCAGCCUCUCACCCACAGUCAGGGCAAGAGUGGCAGAGAUGUCGCACACCUGGGUGUGCGCGUGACCUUACCGUCAUGAAGGGGGUUUCACUCACCUCUUCUCUGUAGGGUUCUGGAGCCAGGAGUGGGGUGGGUCUUAUCUGACGGAUACUCGGGGAGAGCAGAGCAUGACUUGGGGACACUGUCCCCAAGGGUGUGGCUGAAUGUUUUGUUCUUUGAGGAAAUGAGUAUUUAAUUCAACAACUUUAGUGUGUGUGACUAAAAUUCACUUAGCACAGUUUGGAAGACAGACUACUCGAAGUCAGGGAGAUAUAACAAGGCUAGUGUGCAGCAAGUGAAUUCAGUCCUUAAGUCUGUCUCAGUGCAGCAGUUCUGGGCCUCCUCUUCCUCCAUCCAAGAGGAGCAGUUAUUAGAGGAAAAGGAGAGAUAGGAACCAGGCAGGCUUUGUACAGUGGGCUGAAGUGGGGUCAGUGGCAAUGCCACCAUAUCAGAAAACCAAUCUUGUGAUGUAAGAGCCAUUUGUGACAGGUGGGUUCAGUAUAAAAUCCCUGAGCUCGGAGGCCCUGGGAAUUGCUUAGGCAGUCAACAUAUUAGGAGCCGAUCACAAACGGAAUGAAACCAAGUGAGGUGGGCACAACAUAGAAGCUGGACAGAGACAGCAGCUAAGAGGUAGCAGAUCCAGUGGAAAUUAGGCACCUGAACAGAAACAUGAAUAAGAAGCUAGAAUUCUACGCUGCUAUGGCCCAGAGCUUGAAGGGACAAGAUCGUAGAGGAAGGUGAGCCAUAGAGAAGACAGCCCAACACUAGGGGAGUGCGGAGAUACAAAGAAGCAGAGUAAAAUUGGCUCAAAGUAGAGAGCAAUUCUGUGUAGCACUGUGUGUUGGAGAGACAAAAAUUGGAGCUUAGGAGUUGGCAAGGAGAAAGGGUCCCAGGAGACAAUUCCAGUUGCCAGACUUGUCAGGUACAGACAUAAACAACAGAGAUUAACAUCCAAUACAAUAAAGGAACAAAUACAGAAUUUUAUAGGAGAAUUGGAAUUGUUAAGAAAUGAAAUGGAAACUUUAGGUAAGAGAUUGUUAUAACACAAAUACAAGAAUUAAGUAGAUGGCCAGGGAUUUAGCUCAGUGGUUUCACUGCCUACUGCGCAAGUGCAAGGACCCAAGUUCGAUCCCUGGUACCAAAAGAAAGAAAGAAAGAAAGAAAGAAAGAAAGAAAGAAUUAAGUAGAUGGGCAUGAGAGGAGAUUGGAUCUUGCAGAAGAGAGGAUCUAUAAACUGGCAGAUGAUCAGUGGGAAAUAUCUAACUUCAAAGGUUAAAAGUCAAAAUGGUGAAAAGUAUAGAAAAGUGGGUAAGAGAUUUAUAGGGCAUGGCCUUAACAUAUGUGUAAUUGGAGUCCUAGAAAAGAGGAGAGACUGAAGUAGAAGCAGUGGAAGAAAUGCUAAUGGCUGAGAAUGUUCAGAAACCAAUAAACAACAUCAAGUCACACAAUCAAAAAGCACUCUCAAUCCGAAGAAGAAUAAGCACAGUGAAACCACAGACACAUGGUAGGAGAGGUAUGGAAAACCAGAGAGAGAGAGAAUAUUAACAUCCCGUGGAAAAUAAGGACCUUGACUUCAGAAGAGAAGGACAUGACCGACAGCUGGCACCCUAAUGGAAAAAUCAGAAUCUGGAAGACUAUACCUGCCAACUAAGAAUUCUGUACCCAGAACACAUAUCCUUUAAAGGACUCGUUUGCAGCGCAGGAUCACCACAUUUCUCAUGGGGAGCCGGUGCAGGUGCAGAAGGAACUUGUAGCACUCCUUGCUGGUGUACACGGACCACUGCUCUCCACCCGACGGCAGCACCAGGCACAAAUGCACGUGAAACUCCUGCAAGUCAUAAUCUAAGUCUCAACACAUGUUGAAGGACUGGAAUCCUUGAUAAGAAAUAAGAAGGCUUUUCUUUGGUAUCGGGAAUCGAACUCAAGACCUUGCACCUUCAAGAAAGGCAGGCUCUUACAAACAUGGUGCUGUGUCCUCACCCACUUCAUUCAUCAGAUCCAGCCUGCUGCAACUUCUGGCUCCUCCCCAAAGUCGAAGCAUCUUGAAAGGUCAACGUUUUGAAUUGGUUCAGGACUUCAGCGGAGCCAGUACAGGGAAACUAAUGACACUCAGGAAAGAGGACUCCAGAACUGCUUCCGGAAGUGGUGAGGACAAUGGCAUAAGUAUGUUUGAUCAAGGGGACUAUUUUGGGGGGGGAAUUCAUGGUCACAUGUCUUUAACUGUAACACAUUUUAAAAAAUUUAA